CCCUCCCUCUUUCUUCAUGCCUAACACAUGCAAGUCGAACGAGACCUUCGGGUCUAGUGGCGCACGGGUGCGUAACGCGUGGGAACCUGCCCUUAGGUUCGGAAUAACUCCCCGAAAGGGGUGCUAAUACCGGAUAAUGUCUUCGGACCAAAGAUUUAUCGCCUUUGGAUGGGCCCGCGUUGGAUUAGCUAGUUGGUAGGGUAAAAGCCUACCAAGGCGACGAUCCAUAGCUGGUCUGAGAGGAUGAUCAGCCACACUGGGACUGAGACACGGCCCAGACUCCUACGGGAGGCAGCAGUGGGGAAUAUUGGACAAUGGGCGAAAGCCUGAUCCAGCAAUGCCGCGUGAGUGAUGAAGGCCUUAGGGUUGUAAAGCUCUUUUACCCGGGAUGAUAAUGGCAGUACCGGGAGAAUAAGCUCCGGCUAACUCCGUG
rnacentral:rRNA from 1 species